AAGAUCAGCCAGACGUGGGCUGAGAGUGAAGAGUAUAGGGGCCCUGCUCUGGUUCAGUGGAGGGAACAGUGCAAGGGUCCAGCCCUCAGCUGGAAAGAAUGGUCCCUCUCAAGGAGUGGGCACUGCUCUCCUUUGUUUGACCAUCCCGCAGAGAAAGCGUGAGGGAGCCACAGCCAGCUGGUGUGGUCUCAGGAAAGGCACAGACCUCACAGGCGGACAGACUGGGUUGAAACCUCAGUUCUGUGUUGUCUCGAGUGUGCCUUGGGAAGGAAUGGGGGCCAUGGUUCUGGUCACCGGCUAGUGCAAGGCGGUUUACACCUGGCUAGCUUAGAAGAAUGAGGCCGUGGGUACAGGAACUGCUCCAGGCGAGACUACCUCCCCAGGGAAACAGCACCAGAAAGAAGGUGUACAGUUUUCAUCAGAUUCUCAAAGUUGUCUUAAUCUUCAGCAUGUUAAGAAUCACUGUCUUGGAGAUAAGCUAUAUCGUCCACCUCAUUUCACCAGUCGAGAAACUGCCCACCGCCUCCCAAACCUGAAUGAUUAAGCAACUUGCCUGACAUUCUCCAUGAGUGUAAGGCAGAUCCCAGGCAUGGCCAAAAGUCGGUAGACUUUCAGGAACAUAGGAAUUAGAACCAUCCCCACCAACACCAGUAUCCUCUGGACCUUUCAGGCCAACGAUAGACACUAAAUUUAGUUUUUAAAAAUAUUGGUUUUCACCAUAACUUGUAAGUGGCUCACUGACAUUGUUGAGGAGGCAGGAUUGCAUCAGAGAAACACUGCAUUACUCGGGUUUACCAUCACCCACUUGGCCCUGAUUUAGGACAGAGGCUGCGUAUGUGCACGAAUAAACACUCCCUUCCUCCUGUACUGCAUCCUGCUCACGAGUUUGGUGCCUGUGGCAAGUGUUUGGUCUCCUUUAAUGAAGCCCUGGAGUUGGGGAGAUGCUGUCUCCUUUUGUUUCGUGGAGGAGUGCUGCCAUAUCUAGCCCUGAGAUCUGAAACCUCUACCACAGUUCUCGUCCAACACGGCUUUCAGGUGCGGGGCGUUUGCACAACAGUCUCUUGGACGAUAAUGGAGAAGAUAGAAUUUCACAGAUCAGAAGGAAGUGGCAUGAGUGGAAACCUGCAGAGGUUGAGUUUCCAUGCUCUUCCGCCCUCACCUCAUCUCCACCCCUCUCCGGGUCUGUCCGUGGGAUGCUUGUCCGCACACGUAACUACAAACUGCAAAGUCUUCAUCUUGGAGCAGACCCCAUCUGCAGUCACUUUCACAGAUCUGGAUC
rnacentral:lncRNA from 1 species